UACGAAGGGGGCUAGCGUUGCUCGGAAUUACUGGGCGUAAAGGGUGCGUAGGCGGGUCUUUAAGUCAGAGGUGAAAUCCUGGAGCUCAACUCCAGAACUGCCUUUGAUACUGAGGAUCUUGAGUUCGGGAGAGGUGAGUGGAACUGCGAGUGUAGAGGUGAAAUUCGUAGAUAUUCGCAAGAACACCAGUGGCGAAGGCGACUUACUGGACACAUAUUGACGCUGAGGUGCGAAAGCUAGGGGAGCGAGAGGG
rnacentral:rRNA from 1 species